rnacentral:rRNA from 1 species
GACGAACGCUGGCGGCGUGCUUAACACAUGCAAGUCGAACGGAAAGGCCCUGCUUUUGUGGGGUGCUCGAGUGGCGAACGGGUGAGUAACACGUGAGUAACCUGCCCUUGACUUUGGGAUAACUUCAGGAAACUGGGGCUAAUACCGGAUAGGAGCUCCUGCUGCAUGGUGGGGGUUGGAAAGUUUCGGCGGUUGGGGAUGGACUCGCGGCUUAUCAGCUUGUUGGUGGGGUAGUGGCUUACCAAGGCUUUGACGGGUAGCCGGCCUGAGAGGGUGACCGGCCACAUUGGGACUGAGAUACGGCCCAGACUCCUACGGGAGGCAGCAGUGGGGAAUAUUGCGCAAUGGGCGGAAGCCUGAUGCAGCAACGCCGCGUGCGGGAUGAUGGCCUUCGGGUUGUAAACCGCUUUCGCCUGUGACGAAGCGUGAGUGACGGUAAUGGGUAAAGAAGCACCGGCUAACUACGUG